GCUGAAGUUUUCUGUUUCUGUUGGUUGUGUCUAGUUUUCGGUUGUUUUUCGGUUUUCCUGUCAGCCUGUGUGUGUCUGUGUGUGUCUGUGUGUGUCUGUGUGUGUCUGUGUGUGUCUGUGUGUGUCUGUGUGUGUGUCUGUGUGUGUCUGUGUGUGUGUCUGUGUGUGUUUGUGUGUGUUUGUGUGUGUUUGUGUCUGUGUGUGUCUGUGUGUGUGUGUUUGUGUGUGUCUGUGUGUGUGUUUGUGUGUGUGUGUUUGUGUGUUUGUGUCUGUGUGUGCGUCUGUGUGUGUCUGUGUGUGUUUGUGUGUUUGUCUCCAGUCUUUAUACAAAUCUUAUCGGUAUUUCCGCGUUUCUUUCUCCACUUCCUCAAACCAACUUUGUUCAGUAACGUUGUUCUUAUUCAACAGGAGAGUCUCUGUGAUGACGCUCGGCUCAAACAGCGUAUCCCUCGGUGAUCUCCUCAAUCUCUGUCCUCCCAUUGGCUGUAUCAGGUGUCAAUCAUAGAAAACAUGAACCCCCUAAUAACUUUUAAAAAUGGAGCUGUACAGAAAAAAGAGGACUUGAGCACAAACCAGUCUGACAGUAACUACAUGUCAACAUCACAACCAGGGGGGAGAAACAUUUAUAUUCUGUGUCAUUCAUUUAGAAAGUUUGUCCACAGCUCCAUAAGGAGGCGGGGUUUAGGACCUAUACUGCAGCCCGUCACCAGAGGGCGCUGUUCUCACAGAGAGGAGGAGGCAGACGGCGUCUGUUCUAGAUACAGUCUCUGGUUCUGAAGACGAAGUAUCUGUUAUCGUCUGCAAACACACUUCCUGUGUGUGUGUGUGUGUGUGUGUGUGUCCCUGUGUGUGUGUGUGUGUCCCUGUGUGUGUGUGUGUGUGUGUGUCCCUGUGUUGUAUAUUAUAUAGUGUGAAUCAGCCCCCCCCCCCACCCUUUGUUCUUCUCUGUCUGGACCUGGACUCGGACUGAUCCCGGUCCCUCGACUCCAAACUCUUCCAGGAUUUUCCAGGACCCUCAGAUUAGUCCAGGCCCUCUCUGAUGUCUUUUCCAGGAGAAGAGGCUGACGGGGGACGAGUCCAGAGAUGAACACGUCCAACAUCCAGAGACAUGUCCACACACACACACACACAGAAUAAGGACAAAGAGCAUCCUCAGGUCUCAUCGUCACUGAUUUUAUUUACAGUUUUAUUUGUUUUAUUUGUUAAUUUUUAAAGGGUUUUUACUAAAAUAAUCGUCAUCGUUGUCUCUUUGAUUCUUUCUCCUACAGCUCUGAGUUUUUCUCUCUGAAUAAAAGUUCAAUAAUAGUUAUAAGAAUAUUAAGGGUUUUAUAUAUUAAUAAUUCAAUAAUAAUAAUAUUUAUUUAUAUCUUUUUAUAAUCUAUUAAUAAUAAAGUUGUUUAUUUAUAUCGGAAUCAAUUAUUAUUUUUAAAAUAAUAAUUAUUGUACUUUAAUAAUAUUUUUAAAAAUAGUAAUUAUUUGUAAAUAAUAAAAUUCAUUUCUAUAGUAAUAAUUAAAUAUUGAUAUCUGAUGAAGUUUUUCUGUUUCUUUUGUUUCAUAGUUUCUGUUUUUUUUCUCUCCAUAUUUCACAGUUUAAUCCCUCUGUGCCUGUGUGUGUGUGUGUCUGACUGAGCCUGUCACCGUGGUAACAGAUUUACAUACUGGGUCCCUGAUGGGACGUCCGAGGACAACAUCACAUGACCCCCCCCCCUCGUGUCACUGCGUCUGUUUUAUUUCCUCUAAAAGUUCAAAGUGACAAACCGUCUUUUCCUCUUCCUGUGACAGUGUGUGUGUGUGUGUGUGUGUGUGUGUGUGUGUGUGUGUGUGUGCAUGUGUGUGUGUGUGUGUGUGUGUGUAACAUAUCUGUUCCUCUGUUGUUGUUGUUUUUGUUGUUGUUGUUGUUUUAAACUGUUUGUUUGAAGGUCGGUGCAGCGUCACAGGUGAAGGAUCUCUCUCUCUCUCUCUCAGGGGUCUGUUCUAUGAAGCGAGUUCAACUUAGCGAGGUCGCCAGCGGUCUCACUAAACGGUCUUACGACGCUGGUCAUCAACCUCGUAAGAGGAUCCAGCUUUGCUAUGAGCGCGUGCAUGCAUGUAAGGUGGAGCCCGCCGCAUCUGACCAAUCGUGAACAUGGACCGGUCUGGAGCGUCAGAGCAGGCCGGAGAGCGAAGGACCGCGGACUUUACAAACGAGGAGCAGGAGACGAUCAUGAGAAAGUCUGAAGAAUUCAAAUCUGUCAUAAACCUCAAAAACAACGCCGUCACCGUCACCGUCACCGCCGCAGAAGAGCGGAGGGAACGCUGGCAGGAAAUGGCCGACAGUCAAUGUGGAAGUAUAGAGCGCCAAAAAUCUUUGAUGUGGUCAUCACCCUGAAACAGCGCUUUUCAACACGCGCUUUAACUACGGCGAGCAGACAUGUCUGAUUCAUUUCCAGGAUGAAUUCAUUCAUGUGUUCAUUCCUAUCGUGGUCACAUGUUUUGUCUGUCGGCCAUAUUAGCCUUUCAUAAAGGAGGUCAUCCGGAGGAGGAAGUGGGUCCGUGCGGUCCCUGAAAACUCUCACGCGCCGGAGUGCUCCUCCUCGGACAACGCGAGCACCGAGGUCUACAGGAUCCUCCAAGAACGGACACGCCGUUUUUCCAGAGAGCUCAUUGGUCAGUGGGCGGGGUUUUUAUACUCAUUAGUUCAAUCUGGAACUUAACCUGCCCUGGAGCAGGUUAGCCGUUCAGCGUACGUUGCCAUGGAGACUCACCUCGCUAAAAAGUGAACCCACGUCGUAGAACAGGCUCCUGGUCUGGAUCCUGGUCUGGAUCCUGGUUUUGUUUUUCUCCUUUUUUUUUUUCUUCGUCAAAAACAGAAAAAAAAACUAAAAUAAUCUUUAAAAAAAAAACAUUUAUGAUUAAAUCAGAUAAAAGUCUCCGCCUCCUC
rnacentral:lncRNA from 1 species